ensembl:lncRNA
GCAGGGUGUUGAAAGCUGAGGACAAGUCAGCAAAUAAGAGUCUUAGUGAAGAAAUAGAUUUAUGUAUACAAAGAAAUUAGAUCAUUGAUUUUCAGUUGUCAGAUAUAAAUAUAUUUUUAAUGUAUUAAUUAUUUAAAUUCUGGUUAUUCAUAUAUAUGCACAUAUCAAUACUGAAGACAUGAUCCUUACUAGAGCUUAAUACUUGCAAUGUCUGUUGCAAAAAGGUUCAUUGUCCACUUUGUCCACCAACACUAUUUAAACAUGCACUACUUGUCCAUCUUAAAAAUUGAAGGUUAUGUUUUAUUACUUUUUAACAGCAAUGUACAAUUAGAUAACUAACUUUACCAACUUUUCCUGUUUCACUGCUCAAAGGAUCCAAAAUAUGCAGAUGCAACCUCAAGUGCAGAACCCAGAGACGUUUCCCAUGAUAUUAGAAGACAAUGCUGUGAAGGGACAACAUGGUAGACCGUAUACGGUAGACUAUAGACCAACUCCUGAUGCUCUGCAGGCAUCAUGGAAGCGCUUACAAACUGUUGAGAAUUUGCCUGCUAAUGUUUACUUUAUUACAGUGUAAUACAAUUUAAAUUUGGUACAAUACAUUAAUGUUGAUGUCCUGUGAUUCUUGUUGGCUGGAACAGGUCAUCAGCCAGGAGAGAGACAUCCGCGCCGGAGACAGAAUACAGGAAGCAGCGAGAGAUCAGCGGUAUGUCAUGCAGCAAAGUCCUCAGUUCAGGCUGCACUCUUUCCCUCCUCUCUUCCGCUAUGUGGAGCAAAGUGAGGAAACUCGGGGUGCGCUGGCAGCAGUGGGGUCAGUGAAGGUGGACUGCUGUUUAAAUGGAGUAACCUUAAAGAUGCAGUUUUUUUAUUCUGGAUGACAUUUAUCGUCCAUUUCAAUGUUUUUGUAAAAUCUGCCGCAUGGGAACGCACGCUCCUUGUUGCUGGUGGGAACGCAAAGGCGAUGCAGCUAGACUGCUCUGCCCCGUCCAUUUGAACGCACUUAUUAUAGGGAACCUGUUGUCCCCAGCAUGCGGAUUAACCUGAGGGAGGAAGAUAAACGGCGCUUCUGACCCCAAGAAGAGCACAGCAGGAGGACCCGUCCCUGCUAGCCCUGUUGGAUUGAGCAAGAUACGCCGUUAAGUACAAAAAACCAUAUACAGAUACAGUACAAACCUUAAAGUAUCACUGACAAUUUGCUAUAUUGAAGGACUCAGGCUCCUGUAUAAAAUACAACUGGAAGACAGAAAUGUUGCAGAUUGAUGAGCUCUGGAGCCCUUUUUAAUAGUCAUAUCCAAAAUUAAACAGAGGAAACAAUUUUUUUUAACUUACUUGUGACUGUAGUUAUUCAUUCCAACUAAUUACAGAUGUUUUGGGACAGUUUUGAAAAUAUCACAUCAUAUGUAUAUUCCCCAAUUUUUUUGUUUAUAUUUUCCAAUCAAAAGAACAACUUGCAAAAAAAACUGGCUAAACAAGAACAAAAUGUAUUGAUUUGAAAUUUGAAAAAUAUUAAAAGUAAUACUAAAACGAUAUAAAAUAACUAUGUUAAAUUCCAAUAAUUCCCUGGAAUAAAUUAACUGUAUCCACAUUAUUGUGUAUCAUGGCAUUGCUUGAAGCAGUUUUUUUUUUUUGAUGUGUGGCUCCUGGCACUUUCUGCAGUGUUUUUACCCUUUGAUCACCUCAUCUUGCAGUAUCUCAUCGCCGCUUGGCAGAGAGGUGGGGGUAGAAAAAAUGUAUUCAUUUAUUAGCCAGCAAUUUCGAUUAUAUAACUAAUUUGAAAUAAACAAUGCUGUACUCAGCAAAUAAACAAAGAACAUCACACAAUUAGAGGGAGAAAACAUAAAAAAUAUAUAACUGAAAAAAUAUGAAAAAUAUCGUAAAAUAAAUUAUACAACAGAGAGUACAUACCUUUCAGAAGAAGGGAUCCGAAAAUACCUCAACCUCUUCUGCACACAGGUGAUCCUCUUCAUCAGAUGAAGAUUGAACAGUACAAAUAGCUGGACUGCUGUGUUGCACCAGAAUAUCCAGCACCUCCUCAGUCGUAAAAAACUUGCUUCUUUGCUGCGCCAUCAUAGUUUGGUCUUCUUUCUGAAUCUACAGAAACAGCGACGCCUGUCUUGUGUUGUGGACUGUUUUGCCUGUAAUUCUGUACAAUACGCGCAGGCAUAUCUCACGAUCGCAUUGAUCGAUUUGAAUGGUUUGUUUUAAUCGUCUGAGCCUGUCGAAUUGUGGGAGUAUUUGUGGAAAUAACACCAUUCACCACACACCAUACGUGCGGGCAUGAAGGCUGUGUUACGGUAUGUUACGUCCCUGGUCUAGGGUCAGGGACAUAACAAAUGGGACAUAGGAGCAGCAACAACACUUAUGGCUAACCGUUUAUUACAAAGAAGGACAUUGAAACAACAAAACACACACAAAAGAGGUCUGGGCAGUCUAAGUUAUUCUUGUCUUCUGGUCACAAUCCUUCUUGCUUCACACCAACACUCUCUUCGCAUCACCAACAACACUCUCUCCUCACACCACAUCCUCCUCUUGUCCCAAAGCAGACGCCUGCAACAUUACGGAGAGAGAGAGACAGAAAGAGAGAGAGAGAGACACACAAACAGAACACACCCAUACUCUGCCACGGGAC